rnacentral:piRNA from 1 species
UGGACUAAAGAUGGAGUAUAGGAUGA